ACAGUGGAAAUCCACCUUUAGUCGUUGUAUCAUAUUACAUUAGUCUGGAGUGCAUUUAACGUGUCACGCACGCUUAUAAUUUUUUCAAGUCGACGUAACUGAAAGAAACAAAGCGAGAGCACUUCGCAUCUGGAUUUCAACCAGAGAACGAUAAAAUCAGUGUUGAGCUUAUCACUGAGAAGCCAUGAAGACUACUUUUAUUGUUGCUUCGUGCUCCAUCAUUUUCUUUAUGCAUGCUGUUGCGCAGACACCAGAUUCGUGUCCCAAACCACCCACAAACCUCGUUUGUCUAGAUGGAUUGAAGAACACUUGUACGAACGUCACGAAAUGCGUGAAAGGGACGUUCUGUUGCAGUGAUGGCUGCCGAGAUCGCUGUAGAGACCCGUCUGAGAACAACAGGGGUGCAAACGAAG